rnacentral:tRNA from 1 species
AGCCCCGUCGUCUAGUGGCCCAGGACCUCGGGCUUUGGACCCGGUAACCCCGGUUCGAAUCCGGGCGGGGCUA